UUUCCGUAGGUGAACCUGCGGAAGGAUCAUUAAAGAACGCCCCGUUUUUUGAAAUGGGUAAUUCUAAACCGUGUAUACAUACCUUUGUUGCUUUGGCAGUCCGCCCCUCAGGGCGUCGGCUCCGGCUGACUGCGCCUGCCAGAGGACCCAAACUCUUUUGUUUAGUGAUGUCUGAGUACUGUAUAAUAGUUAAAACUUUCAACAACGGAUCUCUUGGCUCUC
rnacentral:misc_RNA from 1 species